GACAGAGGGUGCGAACGUUGUUCGGAAUUACUGGGCGUAAAGCGUGUGUAGGCGGCCACGUAAGUCGGAUGUGAAAGCCCCAGGCUCAACCUGGGAAGUGCACUCGAUACUGCGUGGCUUGAGUAUCGGAGAGGUUGGUGGAAUUCUCGGUGUAGAGGUGAAAUUCGUAGAUAUCGAGAGGAACACCGGUGGCGAAGGCGGCCAACUGGACGAAUACUGACGCUGAGACACGAAAGCGUGGGGAGCAAACAGG
rnacentral:rRNA from 1 species